GCUGGGCGUGGUGGCGGGCGCCUGUAGUCCCAGCUACUCGGGAGGCUGAGGCAGGAGAAUGGCAUGAACCCGGGAGGCGGAGCUUGCAGUGAGCCGAGAUCGCGCCUGGAGACAGAGUGAGACUCCGUCUCAGAAAAACAAAGUCAGUUAUACUUUUUCCUUUUCUUUUUUUUUUUUGACGGAGUCUCACUCUGUCGCUCAGGCUGCAGCGCAGUGGUGCGAUCUCGGCUCAUUGCAACCUCCGCCUCCCGGGUUCACGCCACUCUCAUGCCUCAG
rnacentral:SRP_RNA from 1 species